CAACUUUCAACAACGGAUCUCUUGGUUCUGGCAUCGAUGAAGAACGCAGCGAAAUGCGAUACGUAGUGUGAAUUGCAGAAUUCAGUGAAUCAUCGAAUCUUUGAACGCACAUUGCGCCCUUUGGUAUUCCAAAGGGCAUGCCUGUUCGAGCG
rnacentral:rRNA from 1 species